rnacentral:rRNA from 1 species
UACAGAGGGGGCGAGCGUUGUUCGGAAUUACUGGGCGUAAAGGGCGCGUAGGCGGUUCGCUAAGUCCGUUGUGAAAGACCGAGGCUCAACCUCGGGGUGUCAACGGAGACUGGUGGACUCGAGUGUCGGAGAGGAGCGGGGAAUCCCUGGUGUAGCGGUGGAAUGCGUAGAGAUCAGGGGGAACACCGGUGGCGAAGGCGGGUCUCUGGGCCGAUACUGACGCUGAGGAGCGAAAGCGUGGGGAGCGAACAGG